rnacentral:rRNA from 1 species
AUGGAGUGCGAAAUCAACUCUGCUUUGUUCCCAUGCCAAAUGCAAAAAAACAACGGAGAUGAUAGAAUCAGCACCUUGCCCAGUGACAUUCUGGUCAACAUUCUUGACCGACUUGAUGUCCGUGAAGCUGUGAGAACCAGUAUCCUCUCCAGACGGUGGAGUCAGCUCUCUUGCAAGCUCUCACGACUUAUCAUAAAUGCUCAGCCUGAUGGUGUGUCUAGCUCCAACAUCUCUGAUGGUGACUUGGUUCGGAUCAAUGCAGCUGUUGUUGAAGCGACAAAGAGCUUACUGACCCGCAGAUAUCCAGGCGAAGACACCAUCAGCCUCCUGUCUACCACGUUCUACUUGAGAGGUGAUGCCCCCAUAUCCAUUGGACAUGCUGUUGGCAGCGCCAUGAUGACACACAAGAUUGAGGAAGCUGAAUUCACAGUUUUGACAGUGAAGAAUCGCCUAUAUUGCACUCUUGAUGAUGUGUUGAACUAUGGGACACAGUUUGUGUCAUUUUUUAAUGAGUGUCUGAAUGCAUUUACUGGUUUGACGCGCCUCUACAUGGAGAAUUUGAGAUUUGCUGAAUCUGACUUCGUCUCCAACAUCUUCGUCACUUGCAAGCGAUUAAAAUAUUUAGGUUUUCUCAAUUGCGACACAAAGAAGCAUUUAACACUCCAGGUCAAACACGCUCAACUAAGUGAGCUCAGUAUGGUCAACUGCCGUUUUUACAAAGUCGAACUCAAGUGGCUCCCAAGACUCACUCGGACAACGUUCACAUGUUGGAUGGCUUUUGAAGAACUACCACUGUCAUUUGGUCAUGUCCCUCUGCUUGAGUUUUUGAACCUCACAAAUAUCGGUCUUAGUCGGAACAAAAUGGUCAUGUUAAGUACAUUACUUUGUGAGACACACAUACAAGAACUGCAAUUGGGGUUUAAAUGCGAAAAGAUUUGGGUUCAACCAGAGUGUCUGAGCGAAAGGCUGGCUUCUGCGUUCCACAGACUAAGGAUUGUCAGUCUAGUUAGCAUUCCUGAAGGGUCUGAUCUUACGUGGACAAUUUUCAUUUUGGAAGCUGCGCCAUCACUUGAAGAGUUGUACAUGUCGGUAAUUGAUCAUCCGUGUGAGAUGAUAAUGGAUAAGAAAAGGAGGACGGAACUCUUGCUUUGCGAAAAGAAGGGCGUCGAGUGGGAAUCACCUAGAUCAAAUUUCAAGCACCGCCGCCUUGCCAAGCUCAUCAUCUUUUGCUUUGUAAAUUGCAUGGUGAGUUAUGUCAGGCGUGUCAUGAAAGCAGCGGUGAAUCUGAAGGAUGUGUACCUGUAUGAUAGACUGGCAUGUAGCAAGUGUGAACACAUGGCCAUUUUUAAGCCUGGUAGGCUUCCACGGGCAAAGAAGAAGUUGAAUGCGAUGAAGAAGUUGUUGACCCAGGGCAUCGAGUCAGCUCCCAGAAUUCACCUGCUGACUGAUUGUGAAAUGGAAGCUGACCAUGCUGCAAGGGUUAAAGACUUCUUAUGUUCCUGA